rnacentral:misc_RNA from 1 species
UUCAUUCUGAUGUUUGGGGUCCUUUUUCCGUUACUUUUAAAACUGGAUUUGUUAUUUUGUUACUUUUAUUGAUGAUUACUCUCGUGUUACCUAGUUAUAUUUAAUGAAGAAUCGUUUUGAAUUAUUUUUUAUCUUUAAUGCUUUUUGUGUUGAAAUUAAAACUUAGUUUAAUACUUCUGUAUGUAUGUUAAGAAGUGAUAAUACUAAAGAGUAUAUUUCUGAGCACUUUCAGACCUAUAUGACUCAAAAUGGUAUUCUUCACCAAUCACGCUGUGUUGAUACACCAUCCCAAAAUAGUGUUGCCGAAAAAAAAAUCGGCAUAUUCUUGAUAUAGCUAGGGCACUUCUUUUCCAAAUGAAGGUACCUAAAUAUUUUUUGGCAGAUGCAAUUUCUAAAUGUUUUCUGAUUAAUCGCAUGCCAUCUUCUAUCCUUGAUGGGGACAUUCUUUAUACUAUUUUGUUUUCAUCCAGAUUAUUGUUUCCUAUUGAACCUCGGAUUUUUUGUUGUACUUGUUUUGUGCGAGAUGUUCGUCCAUAGAUCACUAAAUUAAAUCUCAAAUCUCUUAAGUGUGUCUUCCUCGGAUAUUUAUUUAUGAAAAUCAGGGGAGGAAGAUGAUCUUUUGGUUUACAUUGUCCAACAGUUGUCCAGUCCUAUCCAACAGUUUUCCAGUCCUCAGAAUCCUCUAGCUCCACCAGCUGUGUUGCUUAUUCUUUCCCUAUUUGUUCAUGAAUAUUUCAGGAGAGUAGAUACUCUUGACUUAGAUCCUCGACCGGCUUCUUCGUCAGAAGAUCCAGUCCAUCUCACUGAUCUUUAAUGUGAGCUAGAUCUUCCCAUUGCUAUUUGCAAAGGUAAGCGUACAUGUAUUUAUCCUAUCUCCUUUUUUGUCUCUUAUAAUCAAUCGUCUACUUUUUUCUCAUGUUUUGUUACUUCAUUAACUCUAUUUCCAUUCCUAAAACUAUUGUUGAGGCUUUGUCUCAAACUUGGCUGGCAUGUUGCAAUAGAAGAGGAGAUGGUGGCUUUAGAUACUAAUGGU